rnacentral:rRNA from 1 species
CGAGGAUCAUUCGCAAUGCGCGAAAGCGUGACGGUGCGACGCCGCGUGCAGGAUGAAGGCCUUCGGGUCGUAAACUGCUGUCAUGAGGGAACAAUGUCCGGAAUGUUAACACCAUUUCGGGGUGAUAGUACCUCAAGAGGAAGCCACGGCUAACUCUGUGCCAGCAGCCGCGGUAAUACAGAGGCGGCGAGCGUUGUUCGGAUUUACUGGGCGUAAAGGGUGCGUAGGCGGUUUCGUGUGUCGGAUGUGAAAGCUCACAGCUCAACUGUGGAAUUGCAUUCGAAACUACGAGGCUGGAGUACAGGAGGGGAGAGCGGAAUUCUCGGUGUAGCGGUGAAAUGCGUAGAUAUCGAGAGGAACACCGGUGGCGAAGGCGGCUCUCUGGACUGAUACUGACGCUGAGGCACGAAAGCUGGGGGAGCAAACA